UUUGCAUUCUCUGCUAACUGCUACUAACUAGUUAUGGCUGUUAUUUCUUGCUUUUAUGAUCCAACUACUCUAGUUAUUACUCGGUUUAUUGGGUCAAUAAUGUUUAGUAGAUAGCGUGAGAAAUUGAAAAUUAAAUUUCUAUAAUUCUUGAUAGCUAACAUUCCAUUAACAUGGUUGAAGAAGAGGUACUGAUCCCUAGACAAGCAAAAGAAUAGAAUAGUUGAGAGAGAGUAGUGGUGGGAAGAAAUGGUGAAGCCACAGGAGCUCCCAGACAUGAAGGAUGAAUUCCAGAAGAUCUUGGACGCCAAAAUGGACAAUGCACAAGAGAGACGCCGUGCCCGGGAAGCCUUCAAGCAGAUUCAGCUUGGAAUUGAUCAUUGCUUAAUGAAGAUGCCAUGUGAAGGACUGAAGAUAGAAGAGUCAUAUGGAGUGAAUUCCAGAGGAUUAGAAAUAUUUUCGAAAAGCUGGCUGCCGGAGAAUUCUAGCCCCAAAGCAUUGGUUUGCUACUGUCAUGGUUACGGUGAAACGUGCACUUUUGUGUUUGAAGGAGUUGCAAGAAAGUUGGCAUCAUCAGGCUAUGGAGUCUUUGCAAUGGAUUAUCCAGGCUUUGGCCUUUCAGAAGGUCUUCAUGGGUAUAUUCCAAGCCUUGAUAAGCUUGUCAAUGAUGUGGCCGAGCAUUACUCCAAAAUCAAAGAGAACCCCAAGUUCCAGUGUCUCCCAAGCUACCUAUUUGGACAAUCUUUGGGUGGAGCAAUAGCCAUGAAGGUGCACUUGAAACAACCAGAUGCCUGGAAUGGUGCCAUUCUUGUAGCACCCAUGUGCAAAUUUGCAGAUAAUAUGAUCCCACCAUGGAUAGUGGUGCAGAUUCUAAUUGGAAUAGCUUAUCUUUUUCCGAAGCUGAAAAUAGUUCCACAUAAGAAUUUCGUCAAGAUGGCAUUCAGAGACUUGAAAAAGCAAGAGCUGGCAGCAUAUAAUGUUAUUGCUUACAAGGAUACAGCCCGCCUGUGGACUGCUUUAGAAUGUCUAAGAACCACCCAAGAACUAGAACAACGCUUACAAGAGGCAUGUUGCUUCCCUCAUCUCUCUUUUAUUCUCCGGUUGAUGUGCAAAAAUCAACCUCCCCCUUACGUUUUCACCAGUUAGACUUGUUUGGUGUAGCAUCCAUUGGAUAGAGAGGGUGACAUGCAUUCACAAGCUUACUAUAGUAGUAGAUGCAUUAUAUAAUCAUAUUUUUGCCCUAAUGAAUGUCAAACCAGAAACAUUCAAACAAUUACUGUUGAUCAUCAAAACUUGAUGCAAUACUGAGUAUGAUUUGCAGGUUUCUGUGCCAUUACUAAUCUUGCAUGGAGAAGCAGAUGUUGUAACAGAUCCAUCAGUAAGCAAGGCAUUGUAUGAGAAGGCAAGUAGUUCAGACAAGAAACUUAAGCUUUAUAAGAAUGCUUUUCACUCUCUCCUUGAAGGUGAGCCAGAUGACACGAUUUUUCAAGUUCUUGAUGAUAUUAUCUGCUGGCUUGAAGAUCACAGCGUUAAAAAAAUUAAAUAAAUUUUUUAUUUACUGCUUUAUUUAUUUCUCAAUAGAAAGGGCAGAAAUGUUCCUAG
rnacentral:misc_RNA from 1 species